rnacentral:antisense_RNA from 1 species
AAUUAUGGGUGUGGUUGAUGCAAGAAAGACAAUGCAGAGCUUCAACCAGGGGACCCAUACUAGAAAUGAAGACAGUGGGUCUCCAUCAAAAUAUUGAUGAGUGAAUACAAAUAUACAUGUUUUUAAGAGACGGGGUUUCACCAUGUUAGCCAGGUUGGUCUCCAUCUCCUGACCUCAUGAUCCACCUGCUUCGGCCUCCCAAAGUGCUGGUGUUACAGGCAUGAGCCACUGCAUCCGGCCAUCUCGGGAGACAUCAGUUGUGUUUCUGGAACAGCAGCACCCCAAACAGUGCUUGUACAGGCCAUAUUGCCAAUCUGUACCUGCAAGGAACAAGGAGUAUAUUGUGUAGCUCAUCAAGGGAAAAGGACAUUAUAUGUAAAACAAGUACAAGAAGACUCUGAAAGUUGGAGAAAAAAAGUUAGACCAUCUGGAGACCUUGGGAUCUGAGGAACUACAUACCAUGUCAGUGGAAACCACAUGGGGACAUGGAAGCAAUGACAAGACACCUCUACCCUCUCUCAGCAGUAAGAGGAGCCCCUCCCCAUCCCAGGUGUCAACAGAGGCUGAGUGGGAACCUGGAAUUCUACACCCACCUGGUAGUAACAAAGGGCAGGCUCCACCCCUUUCUUUGCCAGAGUGGUGUUGGAGGAAGCCAACAAAAACAACAGGUCUAAAUAAGACUGAGCAUCUCAUAAUGUAAUAUCCAAAAUGUCUAGGUUUCCAUCGAAAAUCAUAUCAAGAGCCAGGAAAAUCUCAACUUGAAUGGAAAAAGACAAUCAAUAGAUGCCAGCAUCAAAAUGACAGAGAUGGCAGAAUUAUC